rnacentral:tRNA from 1 species
GCGUCGGUAGUUUAGCCUGGAAUGGUAAGUCUAAAACCAUGGGCUAUAGAAUCUCGGCCUUCCAAGUCGGGGACCUGGGUUCAAAUCCCAGCCGGCGCA